rnacentral:rRNA from 1 species
UACGAAGGGUGCGAGCGUUGUUCGGAAUUAUUGGGCGUAAAGGGUUCGUAGGCGGGAGUACAAGUUAAGUGUGAAAUCACUGGGCUCAACCUGGUAGCAGCACUUAAGACUGUAUUUCUUGAGUCUCGGAGAGGGUAGUGGAAUUGCUGGUGUAGGAGUGACAUCCGUAGAGAUCAGCAGGAACAUCAGAGGCGAAGGCGACUACCUGGCCGAAGACUGACGCUGAGGAACGAAAGCGUGGGGAGCAAACAGG